GGCUAACGGGGUAGUAAGGCAUCGGAACGUACCUUUUCGUCUGGGAUAGCCAUGGGAAACUGUGAGUAAUACCGGAUAAUAUCUUCGGAUCAAAGGUUUACUGCGAUUAGAGCGGCCGAUGUGAGACUAGGUAGUUGGUAGGGUAAUGGCCUACCAAGCCAGAGAUCUCUAGGGGGUGUGAGAGCAUGACCCCCACCACUGGAACUGAGACACUGUCCAGACACCUACGGGUGGCUGCAGUCGAGAAUCUUCGGCAAUGGGCGAAAGCCUGACCGAGCGACGCUGCGUGCGGGAUGAAGGCCCUUGGGUUGUAAACCGCCGUCAGAGGGGAUCAAAGGAAACUUGAGAGAGCCUCAGAGGAAGCGCGGGCUAAGUUCGUGCCAGCAGCCGCGGUAAUACGAACUGCGCAAACGUUAUUCGGAAUCACUGGGCUUACAGGGUGCGUAGGCGGUUCGCCAGGUCAGAUGUGAAAUCCCACAGCUCAACUGUGGAACUGCAUUUGAAACCUGCGAACUUGAGUAGACUAGAGGUACACGGAACUUCAGGUGGAGCGGUGAAAUGUGUUGAGAUCUGAAGGAACACCAGAGGCGAAAGCGGUGUACUGGAGUCUGUCUGACGCUGAGGCACGAAAGCUAGGGGAGCGAACGGGAUUAGAUACCCCGGUAGUCCUAGCCGUAAA
rnacentral:rRNA from 1 species